rnacentral:rRNA from 1 species
GAUGAACGCUGGCGGCGUGCUUAACACAUGCAAGUCGAACGGUGAAGGCGGAGCUUGCUCUGCUGGAUCAGUGGCGAACGGGUGAGUAACACGUGAGCAAUCUGCCCCUGACUCUGGGAUAAGCGCUGGAAACGGCGUCUAAUACUGGAUACGAGCUGCGAAGGCAUCUUCAGCAGCUGGAAAGAACUUCGUUCAGGGAUGAGCUCGCGGCCUAUCAGCUUGUUGGUGAGGUAACGGCUCACCAAGGCGUCGACGGGUAGCCGGCCUGAGAGGGUGACCGGCCACACUGGGACUGAGACACGGCCCAGACUCCUACGGGAGGCAGCAGUGGGGAAUAUUGCACAAUGGGCGAAAGCCUGAUGCAGCAACGCCGCGUGAGGGACGACGGCCUUCGGGUUGUAAACCUCUUUUAGCAGGGAAGAAGCGAAAGUGACGGUACCUGCAGAAAAAGCGCCGGCUAACUACGUG